rnacentral:miRNA from 1 species
ACUGUUGCUAACAUGCAACUC